rnacentral:misc_RNA from 1 species
GGAUUUGAAAGCACUUCCUUUUUCAUUUCUUAAUUAAAUAACAUAUAUAAUUCUAUGUUGGUUUUAAAUCAUAGCUAUGUCCCUGUCCAAAGAAUUCAAUCUGCUCCAGGGAUUAAACCAAUGAAUCAAAGCCAAAAUUUUAACCAAGUUAACAUGCAUCAUCCUUUUGAGUAAAGCAGUUCUUACAAUCAAUCUUCAAUCAAAUCUUCUCUCCGUUGAUUCUCUAAUGUCAAAUCUUGUCUCUAUUGAUUCUCUCAUGUCAGUAAAUUUGGAGGCAUCUGAGUGAUACCGCGUUAUCAGGCAGUCAAGGCACUAUGGAAGCAGUGAUCGGUAUCAUCGGCCUUUAGCUUUGGAGGACACGAGCAGCAGAAGUUGAUAAUGAUGAUUAAACUGGCUUGUUCGUGUCUUUUGCUGAAACAGGGUCAGCCAAAUUAUUGGCAAUUCUUUCCUUAUCAUUGUGAUCAUCCUGAACUGCCAACAUGACCAGAACAAACAGCAAUGGAUAACUCACUGUAGUGAGAGACCAAUUCACAAUCAACUGGGAAAGCAUUGGAACUUUGUGCGAAUCAAUUUGCCAGGCAACAGCAGCCCCUGCACUUUGCACUCCCUUGUAGAAACCAACAUACCUGCUAAGGAUCUCAGAGUCGUCAGCCAAAGCUCCAAUGACCCAGUAGACCAAGCUUUGGAACAUGGCAUCUAGCAAUCCAUAACUGAAAUACAGAACGAAAGGCCCAGCGAAAUCAGAACCAGAGUCCUUAAAGUCCAACUUGGGCGGCAAAUCGUCAUAGGAGUAUUUGAGCUGGUUGGCAAGUCCACCUCCCCAGAUUGCAGUCCCAAGCAGUCCCACAAUCCCAAUCCCAACAAAUCCCCUCGUCCUUCUGCUCUGGAAACUGAAAUCCAAUAUGUACCCAAUCCCAACAGAGCCCAGCAUCUGGGCUCCCCAGUAGAACACAUUGUUCAAGCCCCUCGUUCUCAAAUUGAAGUGUGCUGCGUUCACAUUAUUGAACUGGUAACUAUAGAAGAAAUUGCUGGCCCAAGCAGCAGGGACUAUUAGUAGCAUCUUCCAGUUGAGGAACAUCUUCAUAAUCUCAAUGGCUUCCGUGGAGACCUUAGAGUACUUGAUGUGGGUGCAAACAGUGCCAUCGUCGCGGACCACCUUGCUAGGGGGCAAAAUAGCCAAGGAAAGCAAUGUUCCAAAGGUCAUAAAGCACAUGAAGCCGAUAUAGGUGCCAUCAUUAACCGAAGCCGCCUCACUGCGAUGGUAAUUGAGAAUGAAUGGAAUUAGCCCACCGAUGACACCUCCCAUAUUGAAGACGCUCCAGAAGAGGGAAAUAUAAGUCCCCUUCCGAUUUGGGGGAGGAUAGGAGGUCAUGAUAGCUCCCUCCCCAGCCCAUAGUAGCCCCGCCCCGAUGCCAAGUAUGGCACCAGCGGCGAUGGCAAAAGCCUGAUGCUGAUAGUGGUUGUAGUAGAGGAAAGACCCAGCGUAUAAGAUAUAAGUGCUGCAACCGGCGACGAGGGUGAGGCGAGGACCCAAGAUGUUGUAGAUGCCACCACCCAGAAUGCCGAAGACAGCGAAGGUGGUGUAGAGGGCGGUGUUGGCGUUGUUGGCAGCAGUAGGGUCGACCUGGCCACCUCCACCCAUUCCGGAGAGGGCAUUGAACAUUCCAGGGCAGCAGAAGCACACCAAACCUAUAAGGGUGACCUGGACUAAUGGUGAGUUGUACCUGAAAAUGGAUUUGCUUGGCAAAUUAUUAUUGACUGGCAAAUUAUUAUUGCCGAAUUCUUCAUCUCCUUGAAAACCCAUUGGAGAAAGAUGGCAGAAUUUCUGUGAUGAAUGGUGUUAAAGAGGGAAUCUUGAGGAAUUUGGGGAUCUGAAACGAGAAGAGGCCAAGUGGAGCACGGCGUUUCAGUAGGGGAACGGUAGUGUGAAUUUAAGGAGAUUUGGAAGAAUAAAGAGACACGAGAGACGAUUUUCAGGUUGCAGCCGGCACGCCUCUCUCUCUCCCUCGUGGCCUGGUAUGAUGUUAGAAUCUGCAGGCCUACCUUCCA